UACGGGGGGGGCAAGCGUUGUUCGGAAUUACUGGGCGUAAAGGGCUCGUAGGUGGCCAACUAAGUCGGACGUGAAAUCCCUCAGCUUAACUGGGGAACUGCGUCCGGUACUGGAUGGCUUGAGUUUGGGAGAGGGAUGCGGAAUUCCAGGUGUAGCGGUGAAAUGCGUAGAGAUCAGGAAGAACACCGGUGGCGAAAGCGCUCUGCUAGGCCGCAACUGACACUCAUGGACGAAAGCUAGGGGAGCGAAUGGG
rnacentral:rRNA from 1 species